GCAAAGGUAGCAUAGUCAUUAGUUCUUUAAUUGUGAUCUGGUAUGAAUGGCUUGACGAGGCAUGGGCUGUCUUAAUUUUGAAUUGUUUAUUGAAUUUGGUCUUUGAGUUAAAAUUCUUAGAUGUUUUUAUGGGACGAGAAGACCCUAUAGAGUUUAACAUUUGCUAUGGUCCUCUUUCUGUUUGUGAGGGUUCACUGGGCCAUUUAAUAUGUUUUGUUGGGGUGAUGGGAGGGAUUAAUUUAACCCCUCCUUUUUAUUAUUAUAUUUAUUUAUAUUUACUUGAUCCAUUUAUUUUGAUUGUAAGAUUAAAUUACCUUAGGGAUAACAGCGUUAUCUUCCUUGAGAGUUCUUAUCGGCAGGGGGGUUUGCG
rnacentral:rRNA from 1 species